CAAUGGGAAAUGCAUACAAAUGACUUCUUUUAGAGAACCACUGAAUGGAAUGAAACCAAACAUGGCAUGAAUGUUCCUUAUAAGGUGCUGACCAAGUGUUGUUACUUUGUAGCCGAUCCAUCAUCCAAAAUGGCCGCCAGCGGGGGACUAAGUUUAACAUAGGACCCUAUGGGAAAUGCAUACAAAUGACUUCUUUUAGAGAACUACUGAAUGGAAUAAAACCAAACAUGGCAUGAAUGUUCCCUAUGAGGUGCUGACCAAGUGUUGUUACUUUGUAGCAGAUCCAUCAUCCAAGAUGGCCGCCAGCGGGGGACUUAGUUUAACAUAGGACCCGAUGGGAAAUACAUAAAAAUGUCUUCUUUUAGAGAACCACUGAAUAGAAUGAAGUCAAACAAAGCAUGAAUGUUCCUCAUGACAUGCUGACCAAUUGUUGUUACUUUGUUGCCAAUCCAUCAACCAAGGUGGCUUCUAGCAGGGGACUUGGUUUAACAUAGGACCCUAUGGGAAAUACAUACAAAUGUCUUCUUUUAGAGAACCA
rnacentral:lncRNA from 1 species